rnacentral:rRNA from 1 species
CCUACGGGGGGCAGCAGUAGGGAAUAUUGCUCAAUGGGGGAAACCCUGAAGCAGCAACGCCGCGUGGAGGAUGAAGGUUUUCGGAUUGUAAACUCCUUUUGUUAGAGAAGAAAAUGACGGUAUCUAACGAAUAAGCACCGGCUAACUCCGUGCCAGCAGCCGCGGUAAAACGGAGGGUGAAAGCGUUACUCGGAAUCACUGGGCGUAAAGAGCGCGUAGGUGGGAUAGCAAGUCAGAUGUGAAAUCCUAUGGCUUAACCAUAGAACUGCAUUUGAAACUGUUAUUCUUGAGUAUGGGAGAGGUAGGUGGAAUUCUUGGUGUAGGGGUGAAAUCCGUAGAGAUCAAGAGGAAUACUCAUUGCGAAGGCGACCUGCUAGAACAUAACUGACGCUGAUGCGCGAAAGCGUGGGGAGCAAACAGGAUUAGAUACCCCUGUAGUC